UUUUAAACCUAUCGAUGUAUCUACAUAUCGAAUACCAGCUAACGCAUAAAAAUACUUUAAAAUCUUCACGCCAAAGAAAAAUGCGCUGCUGGUGGGAAACGCACAUAGUAAAACUGGGACCGUUCCGCGGAAUAAAGCUUUGGGGCCUUCUUUAGCCAAUAGCUCUCUGAAAACGCUUCGACCUUAAAGAUCAUCUUUGUUGUGUCCAAGGGAUGCCCGACGAGCACAUUGCACAUACCAUCCACGCGAUCACGGGAUUCGAUUUAUGUCCCGUGGCGAUCUCCACCUCCUCUAUGGCGUUAUUUAAACUAUCUUUUGUUUCGCCAGCAUCCCAAAAAACCCGGAUCGGUGGUUCACAAAAUAAUCUCGUGCAUGGGUUAUCUGCUGACUAUUUGGUUUUUGAGACAUGAUUACGCUUUAUGAUCCUAAACAGCCGGGGAGUACGACUUUCAUAAUAGACGGUGCUCUAAUUUGAUUCAACAAUUUUUACUAAAAAUAAAUAUUACCUCCUCGGCCUUUAUUCCCGAGUCCAAUAA